UGAUUAGUUUCACAUGGCCCCACAGGUACUGCAACUAACUCCAGAGACCAGCUGGAGCAGCUCGAGGACCGCCUUGGUCAGAGAGUACUUGGGGGCAGAGUGGAGCCACUGAGGUCAAAGUACCCUCCAGUGCCAUGUGGCUCUACCAUGCGGGAUAAAAGGCUCUGCCUUUUUAAAUAUUUACCGCAGUAGAUGGGGAACCAAUGUGUUAGGCAAGAAUCCACUAAAAAUUGAAGAUUUUCAGCCUGAGAAAGUGUAAUUUUCUAAGAGGGGGCCAAUGCCCUGUUACAUCACGUGAUGUCACAAGCACAGGAACCUUAAACAAAAGGGACACAGAGGCAGCCUGCUUACAGGCCCUAGGACCCCUGCUGUGAAAAGUGUAGGCUGCCCUGAACACAGAGUUGCAGAAGACCCCACGGGUGCUGCAAGAGACCAGCUGGAACGGCUCGAGGACCGCCCGGGUCAGAGAGUACUUGGGCAGUGUGGAGCUGCUGAGAUGAAAGUAUCCCACAGUGCCAUGGGCCUAUGGGUGCCAGCGCUAGCCCAGGAUAAAAAGCUUCCUUGUGCCGGUUUGUCAAACCUGGUCUGUGGUUUCCACUGGAACUGGAGAUGAGUUUGCCUCCUUGAUGGACUCCAAACCCUUCAACACCUGGUGGCCUGACUUCACUUUCAACCUGUGCCAGCAGGCAGCAGGACUUGACUGCUGGGACAUCCCCACCCAUGAUGGGAGCACUGGCGGAAGCAAACUGCACAUAUGGGAGAAAGAGGGCUCUGGGCUGGGGUUAGGGGGUGGGCUGUAGGAUGUGCAUUCCCUGCACAGAUAUCGCCUGCAGGAGACCCCACUUAAGUUUGCCCUCGAGAUGGAAGAAGCCGGGCAGAAGUUCACCGAUGUGGGGGUCCAGACUAGUUUUAUUGACCAGCCUGGGAAUGCCACACUACAGGAGACACCUACUGGAACCCCUCCUCUUCUUGGGACUUGAUCAUGGAAAAAAAUUAUACUAUAGGGGGACCCUAUCUGGGGGACCAAGGGUAUUGGGAUACUCCCUGGGCAAACACCACCUGUAACCCAAUAAUAAUCAGAUUCACUCAGAAAGGCAAAGAAGCAACAGGAUGGCUAAAGGGAAAAACUUGGGGACUCAGGUUGUACAAAUUGGGGUAUGAUGAUGGCCAAGGUGAGAAAAGGGAUAGCCAAACAGAAAAAGAGAAAGAGAGCAGUCAGAGCUGGUUCGAGUCUUGGUUUAACUCGUCUCCUUGGCUAACCACCCUCAUAUCCACCUUGUUAAGACCCCCUCUUUGUUCUGCUAUUGUUGACCUUUGGACCCCGCAUAUUGAACAAGUUUAUAGCCUUCAUAAAAGAGAGAAUGGGGAGCAGUGCAGCUGAUGGUCCUGCACCAAUAAUAUGAGACCCUGAGGACAGGACCUGAAGAAUAUGAGUUAGUCAUCAGAGGCCCCUGAGUGUAGCUCCAAGAUUAGAGCUUGUACAAGAAAAAGGGACCCUUAGGGCUUUCACCAGCCUUACACCCACCUGCCUUGGGACAAGGCUAGGCCAAGUUCCAUUGUCCACCCACAGGAAUAUUCUUCAGUAAAAAAAGUUCUCAGAA
rnacentral:sRNA from 1 species